rnacentral:rRNA from 1 species
GAUGAACGCUGACAGAAUGCUUAACACAUGCAAGUCGAUGGGGAAGUGGUGCUUGCACCAUGGCAACCAUGGCGGACUGGUGAGUAACGCGUAAGGGACUUACCUGCAGGACUGGGAUAACAGGGGGAAACUCCUGACAAGACCGGAUAAUGUCAUGGAGCUGCAUGGCUUUAUGAUGAAAGGAGACGCCUGCGGAGAGCCUUGCGUCCUAUUAGCUAGUUGGUGAGGUAAUGGCUCACCAAGGCGAAGAUAGGUAGCCGGCCUGAGAGGGUGGACGGCCACAAGGGGACUGAGAUACGGCCCUUACUCCUACGGGAGGCAGCAGUGGGGAAUAUUGGACAAUGGGGGCAACCCUGAUCCAGCAAUUCUGUGUGCACGAAGAAGGUUUUCGGAUUGUAAAGUGCUUUCAGCAGGGAAGAAGUAAGUGACGGUACCUGCAGAAGAAGCGACGGCUAAAUACGUG